rnacentral:rRNA from 1 species
GAUGAACGCUGGCGGCGUGCUUAACACAUGCAAGUCGAACGGUGAAGGCGGAGCUUGCUCUGCUGGAUCAGUGGCGAACGGGUGAGUAACACGUGAGCAAUCUGCCCCUGACUCUGGGAUAAGCGCUGGAAACGGCGUCUAAUACUGGAUACGAGCUGCGAAGGCAUCUUCAGCAGCUGGAAAGAAUUUCGGUCAGGGAUGAGCUCGCGGCCUAUCAGCUUGUUGGUGAGGUAAUGGCUCACCAAGGCGUCGACGGGUAGCCGGCCUGAGAGGGUGACCGGCCACACUGGGACUGAGACACGGCCCAGACUCCUACGGGAGGCAGCAGUGGGGAAUAUUGCACAAUGGGCGAAAGCCUGAUGCAGCAACGCCGCGUGAGGGACGACGGCCUUCGGGUUGUAAACCGCUUUUAGCAGGGAAGAAGCGAAAGUGACGGUACCUGCAGAAAAAGCGCCGGCUAACUACGU